UUGAAAAAAAAUUUCUUUGUAAUGUCGUAUAAAUUUUCAUUGUAGUUAACUUUAUAUUUCGAUAAAAAUUCUCAAUAUCCAAUCUGAAUAAAUUUUACAAUUACCAACCAAACUAGCUACACUAUUGGUUAAUGCGAACAGGGCUUAAGAGCAAUGUACAACACGUGCUAACGCGAUACUAUGAUGGUAGUGGAAAAUAGUGGUGGUGGUAGUAGUGAUGGCGGUGGUAUGGUCUCAGACGGGCGCGGCCCGUCACGGUGGUCGAUGAGAGAACGAAGGGUUGCCAAGCAACCCUCACACCCCCGUCGUUUUGUGCACCAGCGGCGGUAGCAGCAUCCCCCGUAGAUUUCGUCGUCUCAACUUCCAACGAUGCUACGCGACGUGUACAAACCAGCGGCUGAGUGGGAUGGAGGUAGACUGACCUGACAAACGCAGCUGUCCUUGGCCUCGCAAAAAGCCAAAAUUAGAAAUGGCACUUAGUAACUCGGAGAAAGAGAUUAGAGAAGGCAUAUACAGAAAGAAAGAGAUGAGAAGUGCCUAGAAGCCUGCUGUACAGUUGUCUCGAACGGAAAUGGGAUAAUGUAAUUGUCUCUCCUAUCAGUAGGGGAUUACUCAGUUCUCUACAUAAAGGAUAGAAGGAUAGAGGAAUUUGAAAUUACUUUAGAUUAUUUCAGAGAUGUGGUGAGACAUUUUCUCAGAUGUAUCAUAAAACUUUAUCGAUAAUUUGUAUGUGUCAUAUAAUUUUCUGAGAAUAACCAGUACAAUGAAUCAUUACACUUAAAUCGAGAAAUGUCACGCAAUGUCGAUAAAAAAUUGUCGAGAAAUCGUUACAUUACUUUUAAUAUAAAACAUAUAUUAUAGAAACGUAAUAAAGUUUUAUUAUUAAAUAAUUAUUAUUACAUAUAUCAUUUGAU